rnacentral:tRNA from 1 species
GCCGCGGUGGUGAAAUUGGUAUACACGCAUGCUUUAGGAGCAUGUGCCGAAAGGUGUGAGCGUUCGAGUCGCUCCCGCGGCACCA